rnacentral:rRNA from 1 species
UGCAGUCGACGAUUAAACUUUCCUUCGGGAAAGAUAUAAAGUGGCGCACGGGUGAGUAACACGUAAGUAAUCUACCUUUGGAUGGGGAAUAACAGUCGGAAACGACUGCUAAUACCGCAUAAUGCAGCGGCACCUAAUGGUGACAGUUGUUAAAGUAUUUAUACGUCUGAAGAGGAGCUUGCGGCAGAUUAGCUAGUUGGUAAGGUAAUGGCUUACCAAGGCUACGAUCUGUAGCCGACCUGAGAGGGUGGUCGGUCACACUGACACUGAAUAACGGGUCAGACUCCUACGGGAGGCAGCAGUCGGGAAUUUUGGGCAAUGGGCGAAAGCCUGACCCAGCAACGCCGCGUGAAGGAUGAAGUCUUUCGGGAUGUAAACUUCGUAAAAAUAGGAAGAAUAAAUGACGGUACUAUUUGUAAGGUCCGGCUAACUACGUGCCAGCAGCCGCGGUAAUACGUAGGGACCAAGCGUUGUUCGGAUUUACUNNCGUAAAGGGCGCGUANGCGGCGUAUCAAGUCAAUUGUGAAAUCUCCGGGCUUAACUCGGAACGGUCAAUUGAUACUGAUAUGCUAGAGUACAGAAAGGGCAAUCGGAAUUCUUGGUGUAGCGGUGAAAUGCGUAGAUAUCAAGAGGAACACCUGAGGUGAAGACGGGUUGCUGGGCUGAUACUGACGCUGAGGCGCGAAAGUUAGGGUAGCAAACGGGAUUAGAUACCCCGGUAGUCCUAGCCCUAAACGAUGAAUACUUGGUGUCUGGAGUUUUAUUCUCUGGGNGCCGUCGCUAACGUUUUAAGUANUCCGCCUGGGGAGUACGCACGCAAGUGUGAAACUCAAAG